rnacentral:lncRNA from 1 species
AGUUAACAGCACAAUGAAAAUGUUCAAUUGCUGAAUGCCUUUUUCCACCUUAAAAUGACAAGAAUUUAUUCAGAAGACAUCGGAGCAAUUACGACUCCUGUCAUAGAAGUGCCUGUAACAAUAAACUUAGUGGAAGAAGGGAAGAUUCGCUGUGAAGCCCAGACUGGAGAUUACUGUCUCUUCUACAAGGACCACAGUGAAGUUCCAUUCAGGACAGUGGAAUAUAACACACAAUAUAAAGUCUGUAUCUUUCGUGUACCUGGAGAGGAUAUUUUGGGAGAGAGGGCUGUUGAGUCUGAAACAGAGGUGUUUUUAAGCUGUGCUGUUGGACUAAACUCAACAGGAGGAACACGUCUCUCGCAGCGCAGUGAGGUGAAGAAGAUGGUAAUAACAGGUAAG